GACGAACGCUGGCGGCGUGCUUAACACAUGCAAGUCGAACGGAAAGGCCCUGCUUUUGUGGGGUGCUCGAGUGGCGAACGGGUGAGUAACACGUGAGUAACCUGCCCUUGACUUUGGGAUAACUUCAGGAAACUGGGGCUAAUACCGGAUAGGAGCUCCUGCUGCAUGGUGGGGGUUGGAAAGUUUCGGCGGUUGGGGAUGGACUCGCGGCUUAUCAGCUUGUUGGUGGGGUAGUGGCUUACCAAGGCUUUGACGGGUAGCCGGCCUGAGAGGGUGACCGGCCACGUUGGGACUGAGAUACGGCCCAGACUCCUACGGGAGGCAGCAGUGGGGAAUAUUGCACAAUGGGCGGAAGCCUGAUGCAGCAACGCCGCGUGCGGGAUGACAGCCUUCGGGUUGUAAACCGCUUUCGCCUGUGACGAAGCGUGAGUGACGGUAAUGGGUAAAGAAGCACCGGCUAACUACGUG
rnacentral:rRNA from 1 species